GACAUACCACUUGUUGCCUCGGCGGAUCAGCCCGCUCCCGGUAAAACGGGACGGCCCGCCAGAGGACCCCUAAACUCUGUUUCUAUAUGUAACUUCUGAGUAAAACCAUAAAUAAAUCAAAACUUUCAACAACGGAUCUCUUGGUUCUGGCAUCGAUGAAGAACGCAGCAAAAUGCGAUAAGUAAUGUGAAUUGCAGAAUUCAGUGAAUCAUCGAAUCUUUGAACGCACAUUGCGCCCGCCAGUAUUCUGGCGGGCAUGCCUGUUCGAGCGUCAUUUCAACCCUCAAGCACAGCUUGGUGUUGGGACUCGCGUUAAUUCGCGUUCCUCAAAUUGAUUGGCGGUCACGUCGAGCUUCCAUAGCGUAGUAGUAAAACCCUCGUUACUGGUAAUCGUCGCGGCCACGCCGUUAAACCCCAACUUCUGAAUGUUGACCUCGGAUCAGGUAGGAAUACCCGCUGAACUUAAGCAUAUCA
rnacentral:rRNA from 1 species